rnacentral:rRNA from 1 species
UACGUAGGGGGCAAGCGUUGUCCGGAUUUAUUGGGCGUAAGCGCGUGUAGGCGGUUCGGUAGGUCCGUUGUGAAAACUCGAGGCUCAACCUCGAGACGCCGAUGGAAACCAUCGAACUAGAGUCCGGAAGAGGAGAGUGGAAUUCCUGGUGUAGCGGUGAAAUGCGCAGAUAUCAGGAAGAACACCCGUGGCUAAGGCGGCUCUCUAGUACGGUACUGACGCUGAGACGCGAAAGCGUGGGGAGCGAACAGG